rnacentral:rRNA from 1 species
AAAGUCUGAUGGAGCAACGCCGCGUGAGUGAAGAAGGGUUUCGGCUCGUAAAACUCUGUUGUUAAAGAAGAACAUAUCUGAGAGUAACUGUUCAGGUAUUGACGGUAUUUAACCAGAAAGCCACGGCUAACUACGUGCCAGCAGCCGCGGUAAUACGUAGGUGGCAAGCGUUGUCCGGAUUUAUUGGGCGUAAAGCGAGCGCAGGCGGUUUUUUAAGUCUGAUGUGAAAGCCUUCGGCUCAACCGAAGAAGUGCAUCGGAAACUGGGAAACUUGAGUGCAGAAGAGGACAGUGGAACUCCAUGUGUAGCGGUGAAAUGCGUAGAUAUAUGGAAGAACACCAGUGGCGAAGGCGGCUGUCUGGUCUGUAACUGACGCUGAGGCUCGAAAGUAUGGGUAGCAAACAGGAUUAGAUACCCCCAGUAGUCAA